CCUACGGGAGGCAGCAGUGAGGCAUAUUGGUCAAUGGCCGGAAGGCUGAACCAGCCAUGCCGCGUGAAGGUCAGUGCCCUAUGGGCGUUAAACUUCUUUUGUGCGGGAGCAAUAAUGGUCACGUGUGGCCCGACGAGGGUACCGUACGAAUAAGGAUCGGCUAACUCCGUGCCAGCAGCCGCGGUCAUACGGAGGAUCCGAGCGUUAUCCGGAUUUAUUGGGUUUAAAGGGAGCGUAGAUGGGUUGUUAAGUCAGUUGUGAAAGUUUGCGGCUCAACCGUAAAAUUGCAAUUGAUACUGGCAGUCUUGAGGACAGUUGAGGUAGGCGGAAUUCGUGGUGUAGCGGUGAAAUGCUUAGAUAUCACGAAGAACCCCGAUUGCGAAGGCAGCUUACUAAACUGUGACUGACAUUGAUGCUCGAAAGUGUGGGUAUCAAACAGGAUUAGAUACCCUAGUAGUC
rnacentral:rRNA from 1 species